rnacentral:rRNA from 1 species
GACGAACGCUGGCGGCGUGCUUAACACAUGCAAGUCGAACGGCAAGGCCCUGCUUUUGUGGGGUGCUCGAGUGGCGAACGGGUGCGUAACACGUGAGUAACCUGCCCUUGACUUUGGGAUAACUUCAGGAAACUGGGGCUAAUCCCGUAUAGGAGCUCCUGCUGCAUGGUGGGGGUUGGAAAGUUUCGGCGGUUGGGGAUGGACUCGCGGCUUAUCAGCUUGUUGGUGGGGUGGUGGCUUACCAAGGCUUUGACGGGUAGCCGGCCUGAGAGGGUGACCGGCCACAUUGGGACUGAGAUACGGCCCAGACUCCUACGGGAGGCAGCAGUGGGGAAUAUUGCACAAUGGGCGGAAGCCUGAGGCAGCAACGCCGCGUGCGGGAUGACGGCCUUCGGGUUGUAAACCGCUUUCGCCUGUGACGAAGCGUGAGUGACGGUAAUGGGUAAAGAAGCACCGGCUAACUACGUG